rnacentral:rRNA from 1 species
UGGGGGAUAUUGCACAAUGGGCGAAAGCCUGAUGCAGCGACGCCGCGUGGGGGAUGAAGGCCUUCGGGUUGUAAACUUCUUUUGCUCUGAACAAGGCAUGCUAAUGGGUGUGUUGAGUGUAGGGGUUGAUUAGCGCCGGCUAACUACGUGCCAGCAGCCGCGGUAAUACGUAGGGCGCGAGCGUUGUCCGGAAUUAUUGGGCGUAAAGGGCUUGUAGGUGGCUGGUUGCGUCUGUCGUGAAAGCUCAUGGCUUAACUGUGGGUUUGCGGUGGGUACGGGCUGGCUUGAGUGCAGUAGGGGAGGGUGGAAUUCCUGGUGUAGCGGUGGAAUGCGCAGAUAUCAGGAGGAGUACCGGUGGCGAAGACGGGUCUCUGGGCUGUUACUGACACUGAGGAGCGAAAGCAUGGGGAGCGAACAGG